rnacentral:tRNA from 1 species
AGCAGCGUGGCUCAGUGGAAAAGAGCACUGGCUUUGGAGUCAGAGGUCAUGGGUUUGAAUCCCAGUUCUGCCA